UCUGGUUCAGGACGAACGCUGGCGGCGUGCCUAAUACAUGCAAGUCGAACGGCUUUUCUAUGGAAGCUUGCUCCACUGAGAAGGUAGUGGCGAACGGGUGAGUAACACGUGGGUAACCUGCCCAUAAGAGGGGGGAUAACAUCCGGAAACGGGUGCUAAUACCGCAUAGUUUUCUUGGUCGCAUGAUCGGGAAAGGAAAGACGGCCUUUGUGCUGUCGCUUAUGGAUGGACCCGCGGCGUAUUAGUUAGUUGGUGAGGUAACGGCUCACCAAGACGAUGAUACGUAGCCGACCUGAGAGGGUGAUCGGCCACAUUGGGACUGAGACACGGCCCAAACUCCUACGGGAGGCAGCAGUAGGGAAUCUUCCGCAAUGGACGAAAGUCUGACGGAGCAACGCCGCGUGAGUGAAAGAAGGUUUUCGGAUCGUAAAACUCUGUUGUCAGAGAAGAACAAGUUGGAGAGUAACUGCUCCAGCCUUGACGGUAUCUGACCAGAAAGCCACGGCUAACUACGUGCCAGCCGCCGC
rnacentral:rRNA from 1 species